GGAGGUGGUGGGGGUCUCUGAUUUCCUUGGCCUCCCCAUGAAAAAUUUGGAUGGUUCCUCCAACCUGCAUUUUAAGUGUUACUAUAAGGAUUAUUUUAAGAUCGAGGAUUAUUACCCAUGUAAUUCAACUGCUCAUUUUCCAUACUGUGGCCAUAAGGUGGGUAUUCUGAAUUGCUUGAUCCACCUCUACUUGCUUCGCACUGCAUUACUAGGUGAACCUGUGAAUAACCAAAUAACCCGUCAAUUUUCUUAUUUAAUAGUUCUACCUGACUAGAGAGCAUCAUGACUAAAUCAACGUUAAAAACGUCAGUUGUUUUAGUCGGCUUUGUCCUCAUUACUUGCCACUGAUAAUUAUUCAGUGAGAUCUCUUCUAUAAAUUCAUAAGCAUCUUCAGAUGUCCUAUUAUUGAUAGUCCCACCAGCGGAUGCAUCGAUAAGUUGCCUUGUUGAGGGGUUUACACCGUUGUAAAACGUCUGAACUUGCUGCCAUAGAGGCAACCCAUGAUGAGGGCACCUUCUCAACAGAUCUUUGUAUCUCUCCCAUGCAUCAUAAAGCGUUUUUAGAUUCAUCUGCAUAAAAGAAGAGAUAUCACUACGUAAUUUAGUCAUUUUAGCCGACGGAAAAUAUUUUAAUAAGAAUUUUUUAUUGUCAUUUGUUCCCAAGUAGUGAUUGACACUCGUGGUAACGAGUUCAACCACUGUUUAGAUUUGUUCCUCAAUGAAAAGGGAAAUAACCGAAGACGAAUGGAAUCAUCAGAAAUGCCAUUAAUUUUAAAUGUGUCGCAAAACUCUAGAAAAUUUGCCAAGUGAUUGUUCCUCAUCCUGCAAACUAUCAAACUAAACAAAUUGUUGUAUCAUUUGAAUUGUGUUAGGUUUUAGUUCAAAAUUAUUUGCAGCAACAGCUGGCCUAACUAUACUUGACUCAGUUCCUCUUAAAGUAGGUUUAGCAUAAUCAUACAUAGUACGCGGAGUAGGAUUCUGAUUAGCAGCAAUCGCAAGAGGUAGCGGAUUUUCCUGAUUUUCAGUCAUCUCCUCAGUUGUGGUGGAAAUAUCGUCCUCUUGCUCUUUCUCUGUGUAUCUUAGGCUUUGCCUUAUUUCUCUUCGAUUUCUGUGAGCUGUGCGAUCGAUCUCACUAUCAAAAAGUAAUGGUCCUGACGGGUUUCUUCUAGUCAUGCACUAUAAAAACUUGCCAUAAGCGAAUAAACGAAAAAUAAGAAUAAGAAAAUAAAAUAAAAAUUCAAAUUGCAACAAAAGUAAAAUGGCUAAAGUAAUAAAAAUUGAGUGUUCCUAAUAUCUUCGUUCCCCGGCAACAGCGCCAAAAACUUGAUACGUGAUAUUCGCGACAGGUUUUAAAAAUUUAUAAUUAAUCAUUCUUGAAACUAACUAUUAUCACGAUGAAGCCAAAUGUACCUAUCGAACAGCAAUAUAGCUUUAGCAAGACCGGAUUGUCAAACCUAAAGGAACCAAGAGUAUUAGUAAUUGCUUUCUUUUUAUUAUCUAGCCUAAAAAUUAAGGGAUUUGUUUAUCUAACUAAUUAACUAAACUAAGGGUGCACAGAAAGAAAAUUGGGGAAAAGCUUUUGGGAAAACUCAAUUGAUUAAGACAAUACCCAAGGAAAAAUCCACCUAGACUUCACUUGUUAUUUGACUCUGAAUCAGACGAUUUAUUCAUUUGACUUGAUCCGUAGAAAUCCCUAAGUUAUAUUAUUAUCUCUCUCGAGACUGAUAACGUCUAACCCUAGGUUGAUUAAUUGAAAUCUCUUUCUAAUUAACACCCUAGUGUUGCAUUAACUCGAUCUAUGGACUCCCUUAUUAGGUUUCACCCUAAUCCGGCAAAAUCUUGUCACCCUAUCUCUAAGCGUGCAAUCAACUCCGCUUAAUUAUGAAAAAUUUACUCUUAGACAGGGACUUUUGCUCCUCUGAAUAAGGGCAUUAACUUGAAUCAAUAUCUUGGAAGAUUAAACCAAGAAUUAAGAACACAUAAUUAAGAAUAAGUCAAAUAUUUAUCAUACAAUUCAGAUAAUAAUAACAAGAUCCGUCUUAGGUUUCAUUCCCCUUAGGUAUUUAGGGGUUUUAGUUCAUAAUUAUGAAAGAAAACAUCUCAAAAGAAAAAUGAUAACAAAAUAUAAAGAAAACCCAAAACUCCUGAAGGAAAUUGAAGGAGAUCCUCAGUCUUGACGAAUAAUCCAGAUUUUGAGAUGGAUCAAUUGGCUUUGCUUGAGUAAUUCAUUGCCUCCUACUCCCUGUGUGUCUUCUAAGUGCCUCCCCAGGUGUUUAAAUAGGCUUUAGAAUGCCUAAAAGCCCUCAAGAGUGGCCUUUUUCGAAUAAUACUGAACUUGGGCUCGACAGGGACACGCUUGUGUGACACGCCCGUGUGCGAUUGCUUCAGACCAUGGUCAAGGCUGUUAAAUAGGCACGGGCGUAUGGUCUAUCUGUGUGAGGAAGUCCAGGCCUUGUUAAUUUCCCAUGUUGGUCUAUUUUCUUCGUUUUCGGCCCAUUUCUUAUGCUCACCUAAGUAUAAAACAUGAAAUUAAAGGAUUAGGAGUAUCGAAUUCACCAAAUCUAAUGAUAAUUCAUCCAAAAAUAUGCUAAGCAUGAGGUAAGAAUAUGUAUAAAUUAUGGUUUAUCAAUGGACUAUCACAGAAGGUGUCAUAGGUUUCUCCAACAUGGGCUUAUACAUAAUUUCAUGUAUUGUGAUCUGCCAUUUCAAAUUAUACAUUAUCGAAGGCUACACCAUAAGCAUAUAUACAGACAUAUCUUGCAAUGGGUCUUAGCCAUAUAGCUUACACACACAUUCAUGUAUUGUAAUCUGCCAAUCCAAUCUUCAUCUUAUUAGAGGCUACACCAUGAGUGUUUCCAAAUCAAAGUAAGAUGUCAUGGGUCUCAACCUUAUAGUUUAUUCUUGUUUUCGUAUCGUGAUCUGCCAGUCUAGUUAGCAAUAUAACUGCCCUACCAGAGGCAUCAUAGAGGAAAAUUUGCUCAGCAUUUACUUCCCUAGAUGAUCACCUUUUUACUAGCUCAUACAUCUCCUACAUCAGACCUUACCUGCAUGCUUACCAAACAUUAUUCUUUUUAAUAGAAUUUAUACAUAUCAUCGUAGCACAUCUUUCAUCUUUGCUAAACUCAUAUUUAUACUAAUUUCUGUAGACAUCAUCAUCACAUAUAUAUAUGCUUCUUGUUUGAACAGUUCAUAUCAAAAAGUCAGGAUAGAGACCCACUUAACUCUCAUCUAUUGCAGUUCAAAGUUCUGGACUCAACCACCCUUCUCAAACCAACAGUAAAAACUGCUUACAAAACAUAGAAUCACCAUUAAAACUCAUUUACAUACAAAUUACCAUCAUCUUAAUCACUUUUCCGCUGCUAAUUAAUAAAUAAAUGUUGAGUAGUAAAUAAAUAAAAAAUUAACUAAGUUUUCAAAAAAAAAAAGUCACUGUGAUGAGAAGAAUAAGUUUUCAAAAACAAAAGUCACCGUGAUGAGAAGAAUGUCAAAAUUAAUUGGUUUUUGUUAACUCAUAUGUUUUUCUAAAAAUAGGUUAAGUUUUCUUCUGAAAUAAACAAAUAUUUUGAAAUGAUUGUUUUAUAAACUCCAAUCAUAGGCCAUCUUAGUGGUCGAUGUAAUCUCCCAAAUUCGGUUCUAACAUCUAGGUUGGGUUGGAGAGGUUACAAUAUAUAUAGAAGGAUUCAUCAAUAAUGGAAACUUGAAUACAAGCAAAGAAAGAAAUCAAUCAAUGUGAAUUACUAACAAGUUCAAAAGCAUAUAUUUGGAUUAUAUUUUGUAAAGUACAAGAAUGUCAAGGAAUUAGACAUUUUGUUUUGAUAGUGAUUAUAUUUUAUAUAUAUUUACUUUUAUGCACUUUCAUAUUGAGUUGAUCAACAGUUUUGAAACUUUAUAGAAAACUUCAAGGUAUCACUUGUUGCGUAAGUGAUAUUUUACUAAGGGUGCAUAAUUGGAGGCCUCCUAGAUAUGUGAAAAUAAUGUUUAAAAAUCCAUCAAAUAGUAAAAACAUAAAUGAAAUAGCAUAUUGAUAUAUAUGGUAUCUUGAGUGUUGAAUUAAACAUUCUUUAGUAAAAGAAUGUACAUUUUGCACAUUGUGGGUGUGUUGGUUUCUUAUAUAUCAAUUAAGCACAAAUUAAAGAAAAAUAAUAUAUAUCACCAUAGUGUUGUAAUAUUUUGUAAAAUUUGUAAAAUUAUAUAAGCAAAAAAGUUUACCUAUCUCGUUAAAUAAAACUCAUUGAGUUGGUUCUUAAUAUUGAAGAAUUAGAGUGGUUGACUUCUUUAUUCAUUUUAUCCAACUACAAGUUGGAUUAAAGUUGUGGAAAUAGAAUGGUUGAAAAUUUGUGUUAAUGAGAAUUAAAGUUGUGGCCACAACUGAUGCCGACUAUUUUCUAGAAACAGGGACUGAUGUCCAAAACAUGUAGUAAAAUAAAAUUUUAGACAUGUUAGCAUAUGAAUUUAUUAUAUUAUAGAUUCAAUGUAACACCCCUAUCCUAUCUCUGUUGCUGGAUUAGGAUUUCAGACUAUUACUAAGAAAAAUAGAACAUUUAACUUUCCAACAGAAACAAUUAUACAAUUAAAUACCAACAUAUAUCAAUUAAAUCUAAUCAUGGCAAAUAUUACACUUAUAGACCUUGAAUCGAGCCUAUGGAGCCCUAGAAAAAAUUUAGGAACAAUUUGGGAUCAAAUCGAAACAAAUCAAAACAUUUUGAAAAAAAUAUAAAAAUUUGGGAAAACAGGGGUCACACGGUUGUAUGGCCAAGUCGUGUGACAAAGCCUACACCGCGUAAACAUUAGAAGUCAAAACACUCAACUGUGUCCCAGCCUGUGUGUCUACUCAUGUGUAUAAUCGAAAUAGGGUCACACAGCUGUGCUGCAGACUGUAAACCGUGUGUGUAUUCGAAGUUAGGUCACACGACCAUGUGACCGACCGUGCCACAAACUGUUUUGAGACACACGGUCGUGUCACAGACCAUGUGAAAUAUGCACCUAAAAUAAUAAAUAUACACGACCAUGUGUGGUGACUAUGUGUGGCACAUGGUCGUGUGGUAGCUUGUGUCUCAGGCUGUGUGCUCCAUUUUUAACCCCUAAAUUAAGUUAAUCAAGCAUCAUUUCUUGCACAGCAAGACAUACCAUAUCUAACUAAUUUUACAUGGUAAAAAUCACAUUCAGAUCACCAAAUACAUACCAAAAUUUCAUUCAUCCUAUGUCUAACCAAUAUACCAUCAAAAGGCAUCUCAAUCCAUACAUUCAUUCAACUCAAGAACAAAGUUACAAUAAAGGAACAAGUUUUAUCAUUAGUUAACCAUUCAUGCCUAAAACCACCAAUCUAAUUGACGAAAAUAUGGGCAUACUCAACAAGCAACCAUUUCAAAACAUCAUCACCAAAUCUUUAUAUACCAUUUAGGAUCAACUUAAUUAUAUCCAACACAAGUACACAUCCAAAACAAAGCACAUCACUAGAAAUACCAAAAUAACUUAACGAUUUACACAUCAACAAUAAGACACCACAUCCCAAAAUGAAAUACAAAAGCUACCGAGAUGGCUGGAUAGUGUGUGCUCCAAAACAAUUCGUCUAGUCAGUCCAUAAAACGCCAACUCAACCAAUAUAGAUAAACAAAAAAGAUAAGUUCUAAUUCUUGAUAUUCAAAUGCAAGAUCACACCACAUUAGUAUAUAUUUAUUUACAUCAUAAAUGAUACCUUCCAAAAGUCAUAACCAAUUCAUCAUCCAAAAUUUCUCAAUACAACCAUUAACAUUUAUAAAACAAAAACUUCAUAGAAACAUUUAUCAUUUAGUAGUAAUAUAACUAUCCAACAAAAUUGAACAAAUAAAUGAGUUUUAAGUCAUUUGAUGCAUAUCCCGCUGAACUAUAGUAACUAGACUCGGAUACUCAAUGAUGCAUAACAGAGGCACCAAAGUGCAAACAGAGGAAGGAAUAUGCAAUCAAAGGCAUUGAAGUGCAAACAAAUGCACCAAAGUGCAAACCCGUACAAGCGCACAUUAAAACCCUAUUGGCAUACUAAUCGUAUCCUAAUCAUUUACUAUGUUCAAUGGGGCAUUAAGAAUGGGGCAUUAUACUUAAAAUCGCAAUACCAAUAAAUCCAUCAUUUAGAGGCACUUCUUAUUUCCGUACACAUAAUAACAAUAAUUACCAUCAUCAAACAUUCAUUUUAUAUUUGUACUUAAUUACAAAUUUUAAUAAUAUAUAAGUAACUAAUGAAAUUUCCCAUAUAUACCAUUAACUAGAAAAAAAUAAUAUAAUCAUAAAGAGAUACACAUAUACAUAUUAUUACAUUAUGAACUUACCUGCAAUCCACUUCCAAAUAAUAUACAGGGACUACUCCGCAAUUUUUCUCUUUCCUCGAUUAUUGUCUUUUUGACUCGGUUCUUGAUCUAUAUAAUAAUUAAAUUUAAUUUAUUAAAUUUACAUAAUUUAAAAAUCAAUUCAAUGCAUGACACCCUUAUGUUUUCAUUAUUUUCACAUUUUCCUUAAACUUUUACAUUUCUCACAAUUUAGUCCCUAAACCCGAAAUUCCAAAAUUUAACAAAAUUUUACAAUUUUCCAUGCUAGCCGAACUUCUUUCUAAACUAGUACAAUCCCCAAUUAUUUACAAUUCACAAAAUUUCUAUGCAAAUUUUAAUUAUUUACACAUUGAUCAUUAAACUCAAAAUUAACACAAAUUCUUUUACAAAAAUAUCCUAAUCAACAUUCAAAUAUAUACAACUACCAUUAAAAAUCAUGAACACCAAAAUUCCAUUACUAACCAAUCCCUAAAACUUCAACAUUUUUAUAAUUUCAUCCUCAGGUUUAAUAGUUUAAGCUACAACGAGUUCAAAAAAUAUAAAAAUUAUUAAAUAUGUGAGAGAGAAACACUUACAUGCACCAAUUUGCUAACCGAAACUUUAAGCUCAAAAAAUGGAGUUUCUUUUUUUCUUUUUCUUUUUUGGUAGGAGAGAGUUGAGAAGAUGAUGAUACCAUAUUUUAUCUUUUGUUUCUUUUCUUUAAUUAAACUAAUUACCAAAUUAACCUUUUAAUCUGAACUAAAUUAUUAACAUAACAUGACCAUAAUUUUCCAUUAACUAACCAUAAGGUUUAUCUAUCAAUCAAGUCCAUUAUUUUAGUUUUUCUUUAAAAAUCAAGCACAUUUAACUAAUAAAAGCUACUUUAGCAUAUUUUACAAUUUAGUCUUUUUUACUAAAUUAACUAACUAGACAUUAAAAUUUCUUAUCCAAAUUUUAAUACGACUCAAAUAUAACUCUAUAAACAUAAAAUAAACAUAAAAUACUAACUCACUUGUUGGAAUUAUGGUCCUGAAAUAACCAUUUUCGAUACUACUGAAAAAUGGGAUAUUACAUUCAAUCUCUAAUUUAUGCUAAUGAAUGUGAGAGAAUAAUUUUCUUUGUAUAGUAAUACUACAACUAGAAUGUGUUUCGAUCCUAUUCUUAGAAACUGAUAGUAGAAACCCAACUUUUAAUUAGAAACCUCUUGUUUUAAAGUUCAAUGGGUAAAAGCAAGUUAUCGUUAUAUGUCUGUGAUACACUAGUAAAACUCAUUAUAGAAAAAAAAAGUUUAAUGGAAACUAGUGUUAUCCAUUGCGUAUAGAGGAUGAAUUUGAAUACUAUUAAUGAAGUUCAUUGUUUAUUGUUUAAAUGUCUAAAGCAAGGGAAACAUUAAAAGAACUCUACCUAUAUAAACAUAAGAAGUGAUGCCACUUCAACAAGUAAAGGUAGGGUCUCUCUUGUAAAUGUUUAUUAUGAACAAGAUAAGCACAUGAUCAUUUUAGUGCUAAAAGUGAACAACCUCUGAUAGAAAUAUAAAUGAAUAUUAUGUGUAGUGUAUUUCAACUUCUAAUACUAGGAGUUGUGGUUCAAUCUUCGGACACCAACGACUUAUUAGAACUUUGAAAAGCAUCCGCUAAUUGAUGGUUCAUAUUGAGAGAUAUCAUCUUAUAUGCAUAAUAUUUGUUGGAGUGAAUGGCUAUAAAGUAUGGUACCAACAUUUAAACUAAGGGUGAUUGUUAGUAGUUUAUAAUGUUGGCAGUAAAAAUAUUUUAUUAUGUAGAAAAGUCUAAUAACUUAUAAUUAUUGGCCAAAUAAUUGUGUUGUAAAGAGAAUUUUUGUAUGUAAAGUUGUCUUAUAAACUUUAUGUAAAGUUGUGUUGUAAAACAACACAAUUAUAUGAAAAGGUAUCUUAUUAAAAGAUAUAUUCAUAUUAAAGGGUAUCUCAUAAAAGAUACAUCUAUUGGAUGUCUAUAUAAAAGACUUUUCUAUUAGUCAUUUAAAUUGUUUUACUUGGAGUGUUGAGGCCUUUAUUGUAUCUUGAAGGUAUUUUAAAAUCUUAAAGAAAGUGCUCUACAUGCCUCAAAGUCGUUAUAUUUUAUAACAUUAUUUUAUUUUUCUAACUUCUAUUUUCCUAUUAUUUAUUUUUCUAACAGCCAGAAUAUAGAAAAAUUAUUAUGUUUCUAACUAUAUAUUAAAUACGAGUACUACUUGGAAGCCAGCACCCACAAACAUGAUAAAAGUUAAUUUUGAUGAGAGUUUUGACGUGGAAGCAAGAAAUGAGGAAGAGGGUAGUUAUGCAGCAUUGUGAUGGUUUUUUAGUCCGACUACGCAACCAUCCAAUUUAGGGUGCGUUCUACAUUAAGGUGAAAAAGCACUUAAAAAGAACAUUUGGUUUUUACACUUAAAAGUGUGAUGGAAAAAUACUUUUUCAUUCAAAUACAAAAAUUAAGAUAUAAAUGCUUUUGACUUUUAGCUUUUACAUUAGAAUGUGAAAAUUAUCAAAUACUAUUAUUUAUAUUAACUAUUUAAAGUGUAUAUAAAAAUUAGAUUAAUUUAUAUUUUAUAUAUCAUUAUAUUAAAUUAUUUAAAUAUUAUUUAUUAUUAUAUCUUUUAAUAAUUUAUAUAUCAUCUAUUUUACAAAUAAUUUAUAUUAAUUACUUCAAAAAUAUUUGGAACUUAUAUUUCAUGUACCAUUAUAUUAAAUUAUUUAAAUAUUACAUAACUUAAAAUGUCCUUUUCUUUAGACAUGAUAGACUUUUAACGGGAAUUUUUUGUAGUAACGGAGAACACCAAAAACUAAUGAGUACAUUUUUUCAUAGCACUUUUCUACCACUUUUCAACUACAACGGUAAUGGAGAACUAAUCCUUACUAAAGUUACCGAAGCACUAGCUUCCACUGUAGCCAUUGAAAUGGGGCUCCAAUUGGGAUUGCAACACAUUAUUAUUAAAAGAGAUGCUCUCUAAGUGGUUUCGAAGUUGAAGGAAGACAAAGAAGACCUACCAACAAUCGGACCUUGAUAGCAAAGAGUUGAAUACUUGCUAAACAGGUUCAGCAAUGUAGGUUUCAACAAAGAAAGAGGCAUGCUAAUGAGGUGGCACAUCAUCUGGCCAAACAGGGUGCAAUGCCCAAUUUCUGCCCGGGCCUAAUCAAAACAGCCCAAAGCAGAAAGCCCAAUUUUUCUAGACCUAGCCCACAACUAUUUUCAGCACCACCAUGCACCCAUUUUCUCCACCACUCUUCCACUCCAGAACACCCACGAACGGUUUCCCUCCAUGCCAUACAUACCUGCAAAAUAGAUUAAUGACUCAUAGCAGUUGACAGUAGAAAGAAAUAACAACAGGAAACGGUUUUGUACUUGGCUAUAAAGCCUUUGAAUUUUUCAUUGUUUGGUUUUUUUUUCUUUCUUUUUUUUUUCAGAGAGAUUGUACACGAAAUACAUACAAAAAUCAAUAGAAAGCAAUUCAAAGGUGAUUUAUCGCUAUUUAUUGUGUUUUUUUUUUCAAUUGGGUUUACAUACAAGUAUAAAAUAUAAGAGAGAACGAGAGGCUUACCGGAGUUAUAUCGCAUUCACGCCGUCGGUAGGACUAGCUCCGUUGGUCACGAACAGAUUUUGGGAGUGGUUGGGGGCUUGAAAGGAGCCUUUCGGCUGGAGAAUAAAGGGAGAGUGAGGGAGAUGAUAUAAUAUCCAAGGCAUUUAGGGUUUUUUUUUUUAAAUAAAAGUUAAAAAGUUUUCUUUUAAGCACAAUUUUUAAAGCGGGUUUUAGGUGAUAAGAAUGAAACAGCAUGGGGAAGGGAAAGGAAUAGCGUGUUUAACUUGGUCCACGUGCAUUUACCCCUUAAAUGGGUAAUUUUCGUUAUCAGUCCUCCUUACUUGCGUCACCCUUUAUUUGAUCCUAUUCUGUUUCUUUUAUUUUUGCCUUGAAUUUUGCGCACCGUUCCAAUUUAGUCCGAGCAUGAGUGUUGCUUUUUUGGGGUUGGGAACAUUUUCAAUUUUAGCCCUUAUACAUUCACGCGCAUUGCGCUUUGGUCCCUAUUUCAAUUUCAAUGGUUUUUUUAUUUGUUAAUUGUCCCUUUAAUUUUGCUUUUCUUCCAAUUAAGUUUUUAUUUAUUUUUUCCAUAAAAUAAGAAUAUAUUAUUUUAACAUAUAGUUUUGUUCAACAAAAUUCAUAUAUAUUUUUGUAUAUAUUAUUUUAACAAAAUAAGAAUAUAUUGUUUUCUUCAUAUGCAUAUUUAUUUGUUUUUUCUUCCAAAAUAAUUUCAUAUAUCAUUUUGUAUUUAUAUACUUUACUUAUAUUAAGUUUGCUUUAUAUCAUGUAUAUACGUAACUUAUACUAAGUUAUCUUUACUCUAAGUGUACAUUAUUGACUUCCUUUUAUUUUAUGUAAAUAUUUCCUUUUAUUUUAUUUUUUUAUGUAUAUUAUUGAUUUUAUGUUAUUUUAUGCUUGUUUAUUUUCUUCUAAGGACCCUAUUUUAAAUGGUAUAUUUUAUUUAUUUUCGUAUGCUAGUACCUUUGUUUUUUUUAUGUAUAAAUUUUCAUUUCAAGUAUUAUUUAUUUAGAUUGACAAAUACUAUGCUAUGUAUUACUUUUUUUAUAUAUAUACAUUAUGUGUCUUGAAAUAUCGUUUAUAUAUUAUUAUGUCGUACAUUAUUUUUAUUUUUAUUAUUUUUUGACCUAUUCCAGACUGUCAUAUAUGUUACCUUAAGAUUUUUAUACAUUUGUUUGAUUGCAUACUAACGAUUCCAAAUUGCAUUUCUUCUAUAUUAUCUAUAUUAUUUGUUAAAACUUGCCACAUACUUUUAUCUCAUGUACAAAACUAAGCUUGUACACAUGUUAUUGCAUCAUGAUCUUUAAAUUCCAACUCUUUGCCCAACAUCAAUCGUUUUUUAUCCCCAAGCAAACCAAACAAGUAUUUUUAAUUCGGUUUUUAUAACUGUUAAUUUAAAAAUUUCCCAAAACAAAGGCAAUGUUUGAUGUUUGAAAUUUUGGAAAUCGUGCCCUAACGUACUGGGUUUCGAUUUUUCGUUUAUCCAAAAUAAUCAAGUAUCCCCUUUAAAGUUUCGUAUGUGUUUUCUAAACUUCAAAACAAGGCAAUGUUCUAUGUUUUGGAAAUCCGAGAAAUCGUGCCCUAACGUGUUGGAUUUCAAUUUUUCGUUGGACCAAAUGAUCGAGUAUCCUUUUGAAAUUUCAAAUAUAUGAGCUUUUGGAAAUUAAGACUCGGUUGUGGUUUCGAGGGUUUAGAAAGUUAUGUCUUAACGUGCUGGAUGUGAUAUUUUAUUCCUUCAUAACAAAAGAAUUCUUAAUGACCAAUUUGAGUUAUUCAAAUAUUUUAAAAGAAAUAGUAUUUCAAAAUAUCUUUUAAAUUUUAGACAUAAGGACAUUGAUUAAUCAAUUAGGUACCAAUUUUGGGCGUCACGAGGGUGCUAGCCCUUCCUCGUGCGUAACCGACUCCCGAACCCUUUUUUCUCGACUUACGUAGACCUGAAAUUAUUGUUUUAAUAAAUCAAAAUGUUUUAUUAAAAUGAUCAAUUUCAAGGUGAUCCGAUCCCACCUCAGAAGGGAUCGGUGGCGACUCCAAACUUUGAUUUUUCAAAGUCGAUCCCCGUUUUUUUCAAACUUUUAGAAAAUGGUUUCGACACAAGGCCUUAAUUGUUUUCCAUCUUUUGUUCAUAUGUUUGUUUUGAAAAGGUAAAACAAAUCCUCACCUAUUGAUGUUAGAACGGUUGAAUUGCUAAAAGCAUGCUGCGUGCAUAACCAUGCUUUAGGUUAGGCUUCAAAUCAAAUAAAUUUUAAAUUAUUUUUAUUUGAAUUUAAUUAUAAAAAUAUAUUAAUAUCAAUAUAAAAUUAUAUACAAUUUUAAGAUAUUUUAUUUUUCAAUAAUAAAACGAAUCAUCUACCAACCCUAAUUCUUCAGUUUUCUUUUUAAUUAGAUGAUAACUCAAGCCAAGCUAACCAAUAAACACCCAAAAUCUACCAUCAUUUUCAUUUUUUUUUCUUUUGUCACAAAGUAGACAGAAGAUUCGGUUUGGAUAAGCUCUACGUUAUUAAGUCAAAAGCUGAAGUAAUUUUAAUCAUAAAUUGUUUUAUUUGUUUAUAAUGCAAAACAAUGACCCAAUUAAUACAAUAAAGCUUUAACUUUGUGGGAAUUUUCAGUCCAAAAAAAAAAAAACAAUUUGUGGAAAUUUUAGAGCAGUUGACCAUUUCUUCCGAAUUAGUUUUCUCACUUCUUGUCCAUAUUCCAUGUAUAUUAUUUCAAGAAAUUAGGUUUAGAAAAUUGCAUAAUUCAACCAUUGAACUAAUAAAUAUUAAAGAAAAAUUGGGUGGCAAAAAUAUCUUAUUAAAAGCGAAUCAUAUACUAUUAAUAGAUUUUAUGAUUAAAUUAGUUUCACGUGUUAACGGGAUAUUAACUUGAUUUAGUAAAUUAUAAAAAUGUCUUUUAAUGUUUAAAAUAAAUUAUAUUAUUUGAAGAUAUUUUAAUUUUUUUAUUAAAAAAGGAUGAUGUCUCAAAUUAACUCACAAUCUAAUUUAAUUUUUUAUUUUAAUAUCGUAAAUGUUUCAUGUUUUAUUAUUAAUUUGUUUCAAAUUAUACAUUUCAUUAUUUAUUUUAUGUUAUUUUUAAACAUAUUUGUGUUCUAAAUACCAAAUUUUCACUUAAGGGUAUCAGAGACGAAUCUAGAGAGGCUAGUAGGGGCCCCGGUCUCCUUAAAAUGAAAAUUAUUAUUUAAGCCCUUUAGAAAAUUUUAAAAUUUUAAAUUAGUAAAUGUAAAAUUGCACUUUGACCCCCUAAAAUUAUAAAAAUUUAAUUUAAUCUUUUAAAAAUUAUAAAGAUAUAAACUAGUAAAAAUUAAAAUUUCAUUUCGAUCCUCCCUAAAACAUAUUUUUGGCUUCACCUAAAGGGUAUGACUAGUAUGAAUAAUUUUCUUUGGAAGUCUUAAACAAACAGGAGUUAAGUAAAAAGGAGUUUUCAUACAUACAUAUUCGGCGUUGAUGUUUCCCUUUCGAAAAUUUAAAUUAAGACAUAGGAAAAGAAACUAAAAUUGAGCUUAAUUUAUGCAGUUGGGUUCAAAAUUUAAUAUUUAAAUAUAAAAAUUCUAAUAAUUCGAUCUGGUCCGUUUCAUCUAGCAGACUAAUAAUAAAUCUUAAAACAUAUUAUAUUUUAAUUUUAAUAAAACCAAAACUGAUACAUUUGACCUACAUCUACAUGUGAUCUAUGCUUAAUUAAAUUAGUCUAAAUUAGACGAGAUCUUGAUUAGGAGUCAUUUAUUUAUAUUAUAAGUCCCUGAAACAUGCAAAACUUACAUUUAAAAAUUAAUAUUUUUACGUUGUUGUUAGAAUAUAGGGUUUGUUAAUGUUUUCGUGUGAAGUCAGCUGUUGACAUUACCAACCAGAUAAUGAAAAGGGAACAUGGCAAUUAUUCCAUCCUAAUUGUCACACACACACACACACCUAAUUAAGUUAAUCCAAAAAUUACCUAACGUUUAGCAUUUCAAUGGUAGAGUCAGCUCUUUCUUCUAGUCUAUCAAAAAAAAAAAAUCAAUUUAACCCCUAACUCUUGGAUGGAAAAGUUUUUGCUAUGAACUUGUUGAAGUGAAUCUAAUGUGAUAUAAACACAUCACAAUCCAUGUGUGUAAUUAAAAAUAAUAGAGAGAGAUUGAAUAAUUUAAAGGGAAAAAAAAAGAAUUUACUCCCUCCACUAACAGGUAACUCUUGCAGCUUGAAUCUACAACGUAUGUAUGAAAGUGAACACCUUUAAUUAAUGAAUAAAUACUAAAGUUCUAGGUUUAGAAUUAAUUAAAUAUCAAUACAAAAAGUUAAUUACUUUUUGAAAUAAGGAUAAAUCGGUUUUUGAGGUUUGAUAAUUUUUCACAUAUCGAGGUUUGAAUUUUUUUAUCUUAAGUUCUAAACUUGACAAUAGUUCUCAAGAUGUGAAGGUUUUUUUUUUAUCCAAAUUAGGCUAUGAACUUAGAUAGAAAUCUUAAAAUUCAACCCUAAUGUAGGUAUAAUUGUCAAGUUAAAAAAAAUUCAAAUCUUAAUAGAAGAAUAAUCUACUAAUUGGUAACCCUAAUAUAAAAACAAUUGUUAAGUUGAAAACUUAAUUUUUUUUAAAAAUUCAAACCCUUAUUAACUUUAGGAUUUAACCCUUUGAAAUAUUGCGUUAAUUAAUAAGUGUAAGAAUUAUUUUGUGUUAAUGAUUAAAUAAAUAUUUAAGUGGAGAUCAAGUUUUACCUCAUUUGUCAAUUGUCAGGUGAAGAAUAUAUACCCUAAAGGCCUAUCAAAAACGGACCUAUCUCUAUAUAUCUUUACUAAUUUACUAUUCAUUUUUAAUGAAAAGCAAUAAAUUAAUGAAAACGCUAUAAAACGAAAACUACAUGAAUAAAUUAUAUGUGUAAAAUUGAAAUAUUUCGUGACGACAUUAUUGAAAAAAAUAAUCAUUAACCUUAAAUAUAAACAAUUAUGACAUUUCUAUAAAAUAUCAUUUAAUAUAUUGCAUCAAAGUUUUAAAAAAUGUUAUGUGUAUACUUUUACCUCGUAUAAAAAAGUCUUUCAUUUCUCAAUUCUUAUGGCAUAGUAAAUUUAUUAUUAAUUUUUAAAAAAAAUGGUUAUUAUUUGUGUAUUAAAUAAUUAUUGGGAUAAAUUUUAAAGUUGUACAUGGAUUUUGGUUACAUGUUAAUUAUAAACAUUAACUUUGAUUUUAUAUAAUUUUAUAUAUGAAAUUUUAAUUUGAUCCAAUUCUCAUAAAUUAUUAACAUAAUUAUUGAUAUAAUAUCAUUUUAUGUUUAUAUGCUAUAUACAGAAAUAAUUAUAUUUAUUCAAUAUAAAAAUUAAUUGAUGUAUUUAUUUCUUUAAACGUAUAUGAUUGAAUCAAAAUUAAAACAUCAUGUAUACAUUUGAACCAUAACUAAAAUUUUACAUAUAUAAUUAUACAAAAUUACAAUUCAUAUACGUAAUAAACUAAAAUUCAAUUUUUUUAUAAAAUUAACCUAAAAAAUUUAAUUAAUUACAUAAAUGACCCUUUUUUUUAUUAAACACGUAAAUGACCUAAAAUCUACCGUGAAAAUUGGUGGAAGCAAAGAGUUUGGCACCACCAACAUGCCACGUCAGCAACCAAGAUAAAAAAAAUCAACUUUUUGGUAGAGCCAUGCAUAAUAGUGCUACUUGUAUAAAUAUCAGGAAAAUACUAUAAUUUCUAAAAAAUAAGGGACUUUAAUAAAAAAAAAUUCUAUUUUCUGGUGGAGCCAAAUAAAUUGGCGCCACCAGUUUCCAAUGUGAUUUUUUUUAAAGUUUUCUAAAAUUUUAAAUAUAUUAAAAAAUGUUAAGUAUAAUUAAUUUUAAAAGUUUAAUAUAUUUAAAAAUUUAAUAUACUUAAUAUAUAUUUUUAAUAGGUAAAGAAAAAAAUGAUUUUUUAAUAUAUUUAAAAUUUUAAAAAACUUAAAAAAUUUAAAUACUUUAAAAAAUAUUAAGUAUAACUAAUUUUAAAAUUUUAAUAUAUUUAAUAUAUUUUUAAAAUAUUUUUAAAAUUUUUAAUAUAUUUAAAUUUUUUAAAGUUUUUUAAAAUUUUAAAUAUAUUAAAAAAAAUUUCCUCAUUACCUAUUAAAAAUAUAUUAAAUAUAUUAAAAUUUUAACAUAUAUUUUUAAAAUAUAUAUUAAAUAUAUUAAAAUUUUAAAAUUAGUUAUACUUAACAUUUUUUUAAUAUAUUUAAUUUUUUACUAUUUUUUAAAAAUUUUAAAUAUAUUAAGAAAAUAUUUUUUAUAUUUACCUAUUAAAAAUAUAUUUUAAGUAUAUUAAAUUUUUAAAUAUAUUAAACUUUUAAAAAUAAUUAUACUUAACAUUUUUUAAUAUAUUUAAAAUUUUAGAAAACUUUAAAAAAAAUUACAUUUGAAACUGAUUGGCUCCACCAGAAAAUAGAAAAUUUUUAUUAAAGUCCCCCCAUUUUUUAGAAAUUAUAAUAUUUUUUUGAUAUUUAUACAAGUGGCGCCAUUCUACAUGGCUCUAUCAAAAAGUUGAUUUUUUUUAUCCUGGUUGCUGACGUGGCAUAUUGGUGGAGCUAAACUCUUUACCUCCACCAAUUUUCACAGAAAAUUUUAAGUUAUUUAUGUGUUUAAUCAAAAAAAUAGAUCAUUUAUAUAAUUAAUUAAAUUUUUUAAAUUAAUUUUAUAAAAAAAACCCUAAAAUUCAUAUAUAUAACUGUAAGAUUUAUGUCCACAAUUAUCUAAAGCUAAUCGGUGAUAAUUACUAUGGAAAUUCAAUGUACUUAACUAAUUGAUUGAUAGGAACAAGCAUGAUGAAAUCCAUGAUUGGGAAGAGAGAGAAUUCAAAAACUGAACGCCCCAUUAAUCCAUGCGAAUAAACUUUUUCGGUAUACAUCAUAAUUCAUUUAAUUUUAUCAUUAUCUCUAUGCUAUAAUUAUGUUUAAACUAAAAUACUUGAGACAUUAAUAGUUUGUGUUAUAUAAAUUAUGAUAUCCAUAUAUCCAUAUUAUAUAUAUAUUUUUAUAUUAUGAAUGCAUUUAAAAAAAAAUUAUGAAAAAUGUAGAGUCCGCAAAUAAAAAAUGGCUUACAAAUUAACAGAAAACCAAUUUUAUUUCUUGUAAAUUGAUUUACCAUAUUAAAAAGUGUAAAUCUUUUUUUAAAUUUAUUUACGAGUAAUUUUAUUUUUAUAAAAAUUAAUUUUAGCCAAGCCUAAUAUUAUUUUAUUAAUAAUAUUAUUUUUAUUUUUAUUUUUAAACAAUUUAAAAUUAUUAAUAUCAAAUAUUAUAAUGUUGAAUCCUAGUAACAUACAUAUUAAAUUAUUUAUAUUAUGUUAUAUUACAAUUUUAUUUUAAUAAUAAAUUUUAACAACAAUAAUUUUAAAUUUUAAAUCGUAUUUUUAAUAUAUUAUUGAAAAAUAUUUAUAUUAAUAUUUUAAUAAUAAAUAUAUAUUAAAAUUUAUAAAUAUUUAAUAAUAAAUUUUUUAUAGUAUAAAAUAUGAAUAUUUUAAUUAUAUAGAUAUGAGUAUUUGUUUAAAUCAUGCUUAAGUUCAUUUAUCUCCCAACUCUAAUGUGUCAUUAUACACUGUCAUAUAUAUAAUAUAUGUAAUUUAAGCAUUAUUUAUUAUUAAAUUUAUAUAUGAUAUUAAUUAUAAUAAAAUAUUAUCUUAUUAUAAAAGAAAUUCCAAUUGUCAAAAAGAAAUGUUACUCUAAUAUUUUGUAAUAAGUAUAUUUAUAUUGUAUUUGUUUCACUAAUAACAAAUUUAAAAUGAUUUUAGAAAAAAAUAUCAAAAAAUAAAAAAUAUUUUAAUCAAAAUAAUUCAAAUAAAAAAAACUAAACUUUUCCAUGAAAUCAAUCCAAUUUUAAGAAAACAUUAAAAUUGUUUUAGGUGAAACAAAAGGAACCUAUAUUUUAUAUAGUAUUUGAAAAGUUGUUGUAUCUAGAAUUAUUAUCUUUAAUUUUUUUUAGGUCUAUUUCUAAUUUUCAAAAAUUGAGAAGUUAAUUUCUCUAUUUUACUUUAUCAGUCCGUGCUUAUUUUUUAUUAAUUUGUUGUGUAUAAAUGGUUAAACUAUUGAUUUUUGUUAAUUACUAGCAUGUAAAUUGUUAAACUACUUGUUCCCAAGUCAACAGUAAAGCUUAAUAGUAUUAUCAAUUUGGAAUAAUUUCUGAGAUUUUUCUUUUAUUUUGCGUGAUUAAGAUAUUUUUCAUGUACGGUUUAAGGUUUAUGAAGACUAAUCCUUUCGAGUUUAUAACUACCCUUUUUAAUAAUGUCGUCUUUAAAAUUCGAGUUCUCUUUCUUGUAAGUACAAUAUGCCUUACAUUUAUAACUAAUACUUCUUAUUUUUGUAAAAUAUAAGAAUCAAAUUAUGUAGUAAGAUUAAUUUCUAGAUUUUUUAAAUUUAAAAUUUAACAUUUAAAAUAUUAUCAAUCACAUCACACACAAAACCAAAGAGCAAGAGAAUCUAAAAAACACGUGGACCAUUAAUUUAGGAAUGGACAGAAACUCAUGCAAAAUGGUUGGAAAACACGUACAGGAUUAUAUAUACUAAUCAUUUUUAUUAUUAAGCAGAAUUGGAAAUAAAUAAAUACGGGCGAAACCACUGAAUAAUACAGCAUUGAAAUGCAAUUUGUCUACAUCAUUAUUGUUCUUCACUUCAAACGCGGAGACUAGUCUAGGGUCCCAAUCUUUUGCUUUAUCUCUCUAGAUAUAUCCUUUUCAAACUAUCUUUUUGUAGCUUUAUUUGCAUCACAGCAUUAUCUUUUCCUGCAAACAACUGUUUAAAGAUUAAAACAUGCAAAACAUUCUGAAAUAAUGCACCCUGACCAGAUGACAAAAAAAAAAGAGGAUUCUAAUGUAUCUUACCUUGGAUUGGAGCACGGUCAAAGCCGUGGCUUAGUAGUGGUGAGGAGGAGGGGGUGAAGCGUAGACAUAAUGGGGUGGGGGUGGAGGAGGAGACUUGUAUUUGUAAACUGGAGGAGGAGGUGGUGGAGACUUGUACUUGUAAGGGUGCUUGGGGGGUGAUGGUGGGGGUGGUGGGGGUGACUUGUACUUGUAGGGGUGCUUGGGUGGUGACGGUGGGGGUGGGGACUUGUACUUGUAAGGGUGCUUGGGGGGUGAUGGUGGUGGUGGUGGAGGUGACUUGUACUUGUAGGGGUGCUUGGGUGGUGACGGUGGUGGUGGUGGGGGGGACUUGUACUUGUAGGGAUGCUUUGGUGGGGAUGGUGGUGGUGGUGGUGGGGACUUGUACUUGUAGGGAUGCUUAGGUGGGGAUGGUGGUGGUGGUGGAGACUUGUAUUUGUAAGGAUGCUUUGGUGGUGAUGUUGGUGGAGGUGGUGGGGACUUGUACUUGUAAGGGUGCUUGGGUGGUGAUGGAGGUGGAGGUGGUGGAGACUUAUACUUGUAAACUGGAGGUGGUGGGGGUGGAGACUUGUACUUGUAGGGGUGCUUGGGUGAUGAUGGAGGUGGAGGUGGUGGAGACUUAUACUUGUAAACUGGAGGUGGUGGGGGUGGAGACUUGUACUUGUAAGGGUGCUUGGGUGGUGAUGGUGGGGGUGGGGACUUGUACUUGUAGGGGUGUUUAGGUGGUGAUGGUGGUGGUGGUGGUGGGGACUUGUACUUGUAAGGAUGCUUGGGUGGUGAUGGUGGUGGAGGUGGAGGAGACUUGUACUUGUAAGGAUGCUUGGGUGGUGAUGGUGGUGGAGGUGGUGGAGACUUAUACUUGUAAACAGGAGUUGGUGGGGGAGGAGAUUUGUACUUGUAAGGUUUCUUGUGUGGUGGUGGUGGAGGAGAGUAGACCGGAGGAGGCGGUGGGGGAGACUUGUAAUGGUAGGGUGGUGGUGGGUAUUUCUUAGGAG
rnacentral:lncRNA from 1 species